rnacentral:lncRNA from 1 species
UCUCCUACGCGUAAUCCCCUGACCCCCGAUGUGUCAUUCCUCAUUUGUAUAUAUGUUUGUUUUUGAUUCACACAUUCGGUUCGUCCGUCGAUCCCUUGCGUUCACAGGAAGACAGGGCUUCUGGCAGGAGGGGAUCUGCUUUUCCUCCUGAUCUUCUUCGUAAUUGGGAGGUUGAGCCAUGGCCUACCCGUGCUUCUAAGUAAGAAAAUAAGGAUGCACUGAUUCUCUAUAAGCUUGUCAAACAUUCUCUAUAAGCUUGUCAAACGACUUGUGGAAGACGAUGCAAAUGGGUGAAAAUAGUAACUCGGAAAGUUGAGCCAAAUAAUUUAAAC